GGUGGUGUAGCUCAGCUGGUAGAGCGGGGGUCUCAUAAGCCCCGUGUCGGCGGUUCGAGUCCGCCCGCCACCA
rnacentral:tRNA from 2 species